rnacentral:misc_RNA from 1 species
AACUACAUGAGAAUGUUUCUCUGCCCCAUGAAGCCAACCAAAGUACAGACCCUUUAUAAACAUGUGCAAUCAAACAUGCAGAGCAGUAUAAGCUAUUUGGAGUUUUCAGUUUAAAUACUUUGUUAUAGAGUGCCAAAUGGGGCAGAGAAACAUUCUCAUGUAGUUCCUAAUUCAGAACUUGUUCCACUAGGCAGAAAGGUACUAAAGCUAGUGUGAGAGAGGCUUUCCUCAAUCCUUGUAGGCGAGAAAAGUGCAGAGUUCAGACAAUCUUUUGGCUCAAUUAAUGCUUUCAUCUGAUCGAAAAAAGUCGGUGGACACUCUGAAAAUGCAGCUUCUGCUGCAUUAAUUUCUAAACCAGAAUAGGAUGUUGACACAUUGGUCUUCUCAAUUGGAUUUUGAUUUCUACAAUCAGGUGUUGUUGCAAGGGGACUCCAUUCAACUUGUUCAGAUACUAAUAUAUCACUUUUCUUAUCUGCAUUUUGAUUUUCAGUAUCAGAAAUCACUUGGCAGUUAACUUUACAUCUCUCGUUGGUUGACAUAGCAGUCAUCUCAUUUGGACUUUGAUCCUCAGGUUCAGAAGCCAAAUCGUAGCCUAGUUCACUUUCAUCACAAGCAGAAUUGGUAAUCACCUCACUUUGAUUUGGAUUUCCAAAAUCAAGAGCCAUUAAGCGAUUCUGUUCACCUUUGUCAUAGGUUGAUAUAGGAGUCAUCUCAUCCAGAUUAUGAUCUUC